CUUAUUUUCAUUUCCCUCCUAUUCUUCACCCCAUUUCUCCGACUCUUGCUGCCAAGGUCUUGCAACCCCUCCGACCAAUCCCCACAUCUUGCCGCCGUCACCACCACUUCCACAUUUUUCCAUUGUCACCAUCGCAACCCCCUUGUCACCGUUACCACCGCAACCACCUCCGCUGCCGCCACCGCCACCACUCACCCCAUUCCCGUCGCGUCACCACCUCCGUCGCUAUUUCAGGCGAGUCAUAGAACAUUCUUUGUUUGAUUCAUCCAUCUUAGACAUUGUGAGUCCUAGAUUUUAAUUAUAUGAUGAAAUCAAGAAGAUGGGUAUUUGGGGUUUCUAAUGAAUUUUGCUAUAAUAAUCCAAAUUAUAGAAAUUGUGAAAUAUACGGUGUUUAUCUACUAAAGAUGGGUAUUUGUAGAGUUACAUGGAAGGAUAACACUUGAGUGCUUGUGGUAAAAAUGGCAAGCUCUUUAAAAAUGAAGGAUUUAUUGGUCCGAUGCCCCGACAAUAGCUGUCUUUCAGAAGGGUUGUGAACAUGUAUGGUCAGGUACACAUUCCUUGAUGAAAUUUUGCUAUCAAAAGAUGUUGUUAUUGGAGGGCAUCUGUUAUUUUCUAUAAAAAACAUUACAUGAUAGAACUUGAGAAGAUAGUGGAGUCAAGCUCCAACUUUGAUUUGGUUUAUGAUAUACUAUCUGGGCAAUUCGUGAUUAUAAGUUUUGCUUUAGUGUACUUCGACAUAAUGUAAUCUGUUUAUAUUAUUAUUUUACCUGAAACUUAACCCCAUUGGAAUUGAGUAUAGAAUUUGAUUUUGUUUAUAUACCAAUCAAAUACCACUAGUUGGAAAGAAUACAUCGGAAUCCUAUAGUAAAGAUUUGUAGAUGGGCUUAUUUGUGGUGUCAAAGCUGGACUAGGUUUUAUUUUUACAAUGGCUAACGCAAACAUACUGUAAAUCAAUCUUUGGAUGACUUCAAAAGUCAAUUGUAUUUGUUUCCCAAAAUAUUAUUGGUGCACAGGUAUGCCAUGUUAUGCUGAGUACAUGUAAAAUCUUACCACCAAAUGCCAAUAACGAACGUCUUUAGGUACGUAUACUAUAAAUUUACUCAGUUACUUCGUGUUUAAUAACGAGUUUGUUUACAUUGAUCAUGACUACGAGAUUUUUUAAUUAAGUUUACUAUACAUGCUCAUUUGUUCAAUUUCAUUAAAGACUCCCCUCCUGCAGAGUUUGUAUCUAAGAUAGAUGUCUUACAAAUGCAAAACAUAGAGUUGACUUUUUUUAUAUCCAAAUCCAAGCUAGACUCUUCUGUCAUCGUCUACUUUUUUUUUAUGCUCAGAUGUGAGAUUGGCUGCUGAGUCUAAAAGUAGAAGGUUGCUAGCUACGUAAAAUGGCUAGAAGAUGAAUUAGAACUUAAUGCUUUUCGUAAACCUAGAAGUUGUAGAGGUGGAAAUGAGAAAACUGUUGGAAGUCAAAGAACAACCCUUUUGGCAUUCUUCCAAUACUAAGGUAACUGCUACUAUCAUUGUUAAAAAAGAGUUAACACGAGGAUCAUUUUAUUCACAUGAUGAUUGUGGAAGAGGUUCACGAAUGAAGUUUUGAAUAUUUAUUUCAAACAUACCAUUGAUCCCGUGGUGAAUCUUUGACACUUUGGAGCUUUAGACAUAUACUAAGGGACGACAUGUCGUCUCUACAAACUCUUCUAUAGCAACAUCUAUAGGGACGACUUUUGUUUGCCUAUAGGGACGAGGCUGUAGAGAGAAAUUUUAUAGAGACGAUAUGUCGUCUCUAUAGGUUAAAAAGGCCUAUAGAGACACCAUGUCCUCCCUAUAAGCUGAAAAAAAAUGUCGUCCCUAUAAGGUAUUUUUCUUGUAGUGAAAGACAACCGAUGUGCCUUCUUAAACGUGAACACAAUCAGUGUUGAGUCAAAUGUGUAGAGAAAUGAGAGCAGAAGUUGAAGAACACAUUAGGACUAUGGUGCGUUAUCAUGAUGAUAAAGAAUUCAUCCUUGUACCUUAUUGUGCCGAUGGACAUUGGACUUUGUUCAUUAUUGCCGUAAAAGUACGACGAGUAUAUAUUUUAGAUCAACUAUUCAAAGAGGGCAACAAGAAUCCUAGCCACUAUCGUCUUACAAAUGUGAUUGAAAGCGCCUUGCUGCCAAUAAAACCCACAUUUGAUAUGGUUAAUUGCAAUCAACAAGCUGAGACAUGAGAAUGCGGCUAUAUACUUCUUCAAUCUAUGUUCGACUUUGUCAAUGUGUAUCAAAAGCAAUUUCCCAAAAUGUGGAACGACAUGAAAGAGGUUACAGAUGAAGAUAUAGAAAAGACGUUGAAGGAAUUGAUGCCAAUUUUUUUUACGGGUUGGGUAUUCCUUCGUUUAAAUAUAGUUUGUUUAUGGUUUUAAAUAGAUUAAGUAGUGAAUUGUUAUUUUACCAAUUAAUAUUGUAGACUUUCGGGUUAAAUGUGUAUUGGUUCACUUUUUACUUGUCCGGAUUUGAUUACGUUGAAUAUAUAAGAGGAUUGAUUGGAUUU